UACGGAGGGUGCAAGCGUUGUCCGGAAUCACUGGGCGUAAAGGGCGCGUAGGCGGCUCAUGAAGGCUGUGGUGAAAGUCCGGGGCUCAACCUCGGAUCGGCCGUGGCGACUCGUGGGCUGGAGCACUGUAGAGGCGGGUGGAAUUCCGGGUGUAGCGGUGGAAUGCGUAGAGAUCCGGAGGAAGACCGGUGGCGAAGGCGGCCUGCUGGGCAGUUUCUGACACUGAGGCGCGACAGCGUGGGGAGCAAACAGG
rnacentral:rRNA from 1 species